CCCCCCCCCUAAAUCAAAUGGUAGCUCCCUAACAUGGGAUAGUGGUGUGAAAAGGCUUAACUCAUCUGACAUCAGAUCUGUACAAAGCAGAUUUAACCACUUUGAUUUAUCACUUCAUACAAGUCAUAUGGAUUUAAUAAACAUAAGAUGGAUUAGAAAAUUCAAAUAAUUUAAUACUUUUUGCAUAGUUAAUUUUUUUUCAGGGCAAGUCUAGAUCUGUUGUUCAGACUUCUUGUUUUAAAAGAUCAAAAUAAGCCAAUUUUGUCAUAUAAAAAAUUUUAAGGCAAUAAAUUUGGCAGAUAUAUAAAUAUUGUAACUUCAUUUUAUUAUACAUUUGUACAUGUCAUACUUUAUUUCUUUUAGCAUUUUCAAUGAAAGUACAUUUUGUACUCCAAGAAGUAGAAGAAUCUAAGCAACAGAACAGAAUUCAUUUGAUGCAUUGCUUUCUAGAUUAUAUAAUGGAUUCAUAGAUUGUCAUAUUGAUUUAUAUGCAUAUAAGGAGCAGCAGGCAAUAAUUAUUUUGUGAUGAGAGCUUGUUACCAUGGUUACCAAAUGAAAGGAAAGUACAGUAUUAUAAUCACUGGUGUACAUGUAGGUGCGGAUGUCAGGCAAAAAGAACUGGUAUCAAAGAACUGAAAAGUAAAGAAACAGAACCAAAGAACAUUCAUUUUUAAUUAAUACAAUAUUGAGCUCAAAGUCAAUCUAGUUGUCUUUCUUAAUCAUACAGGAUAUUUACAAAAAGCAGCUGCAUACACAUGCACCAGUAAUAUACAGCAGUGAAGACAAUUAAAUAUCUGUGUAUGGAGGUAUAGCAAUAGAAAUAUCACAUACAUCAUAGGAAAAUAGAAUACAGACAAUAGAAAUGGAGUAUGUCAAAGAGACAAAAAUAUGAAAAUAGAAUAUAGACAAUAGAAAUGGAGUAUGUCAAAGAGACACACAUAUGAAAAUAGAAUAUAGACAAUAAAAUUGGGGUAUGUCAAAGAGACAAACAUGAAAAUAGAAUAUAGACAAAAGAA